UACGGGGGGGGCAAGCGUUGUUCGGAAUUACUGGGCGUAAAGGGCUCGUAGGCGGCCAACUAAGUCAGACGUGAAAUCCCUCGGCUUAACCGGGGAACUGCGUCUGAUACUGGAUGGCUUGAGGUUGGGAGAGGGAUGCGGAAUUCCAGGUGUAGCGGUGAAAUGCGUAGAUAUCGUAAGGAAGACCAGUGGCGAAGGCGGGUCUCUGGACAGUUCCUGACGCUGAGGCACGAAGGUCAGGGGAGCAAACGGG
rnacentral:rRNA from 1 species